rnacentral:rRNA from 1 species
UGCGUAGGCGGCCAAUUAAGUAGGGUGUGAAAGGCUUCGGCUCAACCGGAGCAUUGCGCUCUAGACUGAUUGGCUCGAGUGAGAUAGGGGUGUGCGGAACUUCCAGUGGAGCGGUGAAAUGUGUUGAUAUUGGAAGGAACGCCGGUGGCGAAAGCGGCACACUGGGUCUUAACUGACGCUGAGGCACGAAAGCCAGGGAGGCAACG